rnacentral:rRNA from 1 species
AACUUUCAACAACGGAUCUCUUGGUUCUGGCAUCGAUGAAGAACGCAGCC